rnacentral:rRNA from 1 species
GUGAGGAAUAUUGGUCAAUGGGCGCAAGCCUGAACCAGCCAUCCCGCGUGCAGGAAGAAGGCGCUAUGCGUCGUAAACUGCUUUUUCAGGGGAAGAAAAUCCUGUACGUGUACGGGACUGACGGUACCCUGUGAAUAAGCAUCGGCUAACUCCGUGCCAGCAGCCGCGGUAAUACGGAGGAUGCGAGCGUUAUCCGGAUUCAUUGGGUUUAAAGGGUGCGUAGGCGGAACGAUAAGUCAGUGGUGAAAUUCUGCAGCUUAACUGUAGACGUGCCAUUGAUACUGUCAGUCUUGAGUAUGGUCAAGGUAGGCGGAAUGUGUAAUGUAGCGGUGAAAUGCUUAGAUAUUACACAGAACACCGAUUGCGAAGGCAGCUUGCUGGGCCAUUACUGACGCUGAUGCACGAAAGCGUGGGGAUCAAACAGGAUUAGAUACCCCAGUAGUCC